rnacentral:rRNA from 1 species
GACGAACGCUGGCGGCGUGCUUAACACAUGCAAGUCGAACGGAAAGGCCCUGCUUGCAGUGUACUCGAGUGGCGAACGGGUGAGUAACACGUGGGUGAUCUGCCCUGCACUUCGGGAUAAGCCUGGGAAACUGGGUCUAAUACCGGAUAGGAGCCAUUUUGAGUGUGAUGGUUGGAAAGUUUUUUCGGUGUAGGAUGAGCUCGCGGCCUAUCAGCUUGUUGGUGGGGUAAUGGCCUACCAAGGCGGCGACGGGUAGCCGGCCUGAGAGGGUGGACGGCCACAUUGGGACUGAGAGGCGGCCCAGGCUCCUACGGGAGGCCGCAGGGGGGAAUAUUGCACAAUGGGCGCCGGCCUGGUGCAGCGGCGCCGCGUGGGGGAUGACGGUCUUCGGGUUGUAGACUACUUUCGCUAGGGACGAAGCUUUUUGUGACGGUACCUAGAUAAGAAGCACCGGCUAACUACGUG